rnacentral:lncRNA from 1 species
UUUGCUUGUGCAUCUCUCUCUGCCAUUCUGGCUCGUUGAUAAGCUUCAUUGUACGCGUCUUCGGCUCUUGCCCUCUUGGUAGAUUCCACCUUCAGCUUAUUCUCCACUUCUGUAAUCUUCACCAUCAGUUGCUCGUUUUCCCCUUCCGUGUGGAUCAGUUUUUCUUCAACGUUGUUCAGUCGUUCUUCUUGAUCUUGGAUCUCGUCG